ACUGUCUAAUUAAAACAAAGCAUUGCGAUGGCCCUCGCGGGUGUUGACACAAUGUGAUUUCUGCCCAGUGCUCUGAAUGUCAACGUGAAGAAAUUCAAGCAAGCGCGGGUAAACGGCGGGAGUAACUAUGACUCUCUUAAGUAACAUCUUAAAAUCCUUUUGGCGUAAUCGCAGAACUGCAAAGAGUCAU
rnacentral:ncRNA from 1 species